GACGAACGCUGGCGGCGUGCUUAACACAUGCAAGUCGAGCGAUGAAGUCUCUUCGGAUAUGGAUUAGCGGCGGACGGGUGAGUAACACGUUGGUAACCUGCCUCAUAGAGGGGAAUAGCCUUUCGGAAGGAAGAUUAAUGCCCCAUAAGAUUGUAGUACCGCAUGGUAUAGCAAUUAAAGGAGUAAUCCGCUAUGAGAUGGACCCGCGUCGCAUUAGCUAGUUGGUGAGGUAGCGGCUCACCAAGGCGACGAUGCGUAGCCGACCUGAGAGGGUGAUCGGCCACAUUGGGACUGAGACACGGCCCAGACUCCUACGGGAGGCAGCAGUGGGGAAUAUUGCACAAUGGGGGAAACCCUGAUGCAGCAACGCCGCGUGAGUGAUGACGGUCUUCGGAUUGUAAAGCUCUGUCUUCAGGGACGAUAAUGACGGUACCUGAGGGGGAAGCCACGGCUAACUACGUGCCAGCAGCCGCCGUAA
rnacentral:rRNA from 1 species